GGGAGUAGAGCUCAGUGGUAGAGCGUGUGCUUAGUAUGUGUGAGGUCCUGGGUUCAAACCCCAGGAUCUCCA
rnacentral:tRNA from 1 species